CGACUUGAAUCAAUCGAAGAGGGUCAAUGCAUUUGAAGCGAUUAAUUAGUGAGGUCAAUUCAGUUCGGUCGAGUCGAUUUGAUUCUAACUCGGACCCGAAGUCAUUUACCGAAUCGGUUCAUGAUGUCAACCAUAGACUCUCGUAUCCGAUCGAAAUCAGUUUGCGUUGGUCGAUCACUUUUAACCUAUUUACAUAUUUAUCACACUACUAAUAGGUUAAGAUAUAAAAUGAUUAUGGAUCGUCCUCGCGGCCUCUCGCCGUCGCUGCCUCCGCGGCCUUUCCACGAGUUCGAUGCUGUCGCCUUCGAGCGCGUGUUUCGCGCCUGCCUUAGCUUCGUCGUGGUGGGGCGGGAGGCAUUUUAGGAGUUGAUCGGCCAGGGGUGGUUCCUCACCCACAAUGCCACGAAGUGGUUCCUCACGUCAGGCGCUGGCAGCUGCCGAUGGUUGUCACCAUCGUCGCCUUCGGGGUGGAUGCGAAUGGGUUCCAACUUUUGUGAUUGAAGAAGAAGAUAUCUACAUGCGACAUUUAGGGUUUGGCUUUCGUGGUCUCUCCCUCUCCGUUGCUUUUCAGGAGUACUUUUGGUACUUACAAGAUUGAUGACGAAGAGGAUGGCAAGGCCAAAUACAGUAAUUUGGAUUUUGGAGAUCAUCAAGCUCAAGCGCUUGUGAGAAGGUUUAUGAUAAAAGGAAAAGAAAAAUCCCAUAUUAAGGUAAUUGGAGAGUUUGAUAGGAUAGGGCCAUGGUAAAAAAAGAUGAGGGAACAGUUGAGGAGGCUGGGGUACGGAGGAAAUGAUGGGUAGGUAGAUGGGAUUUCGCCACUAAACUUGUGCUCAAGCAAGUGUCGGAGUGGGAUGUGAAUUAUGACCAUGUCACUAUGAUGCCAUAUUUUGUUACUAGUAUGCAGGCUAGUAGAUUUAGGAAAGCCAAGACUGGAGCUGCUAAAUGGUAGGCUUGUAAAAUCAUAUGGCGAUAAUUUUAUGUUGUUAUUGAUGUCAAGCUGGAAGAGGCUUGUGUCUUGGAGUAGAUUGUGGGUAGGAAGAGGACGAGAAGAAAGAAGCCUUAGGAGGAUAGGCUUGAUUGGAAGGACUGCAUUAUCAAACUUUUGCUACUUCACCAAGAGAAUGAGGAUGAUAUAGAGUAACGAUAGUAAGACAUAUUUCUAGAGAUGUCUUAAAUUGAUAAGUGCUGAAAGAUGAAAACCAAAUAGUUGGUGGGAUUUGAAUGUUUGGGCGCCCCCUGCCAAUUGUGUGUUUUAUACAUAAAUUGCUGACAAAAAUAUUUCUCUUUUUGGCAUGGCUAUUUAUAUAUCAACACAUACAUAUAAAUUGAAUGAGCAAUUGCUUAAGACACUUAAAAAUUGCUUUUUACCUAAGUAGCAAUAGUCUUACAGUACUUUGGUUUUGGAUGUAUUGUUUAUCUUUGCUUCAGUUGAUCAUAUAAAGUGAAUUUAGGGUGCUGAUUGAAAUACUAUGAAUAAAGAAAUUCCUGAUUUAAUGUCUCAGUUUAAAGUAAAAGUCAAUUCUUUUUUUCUUCCCUUUGGAAUUUGCAUAUGAAAAAUAUUAUUUAGUGAAUCAGGUUAAAGUUUUUCUUUUUUAUAGUAUUGUUUAGAAGUUUUACUUGGGAAAAUUAGCUUGUAAAUUUGUAGAAUUCAUAUUUAUGAUUCAUAAAUAUAUAAAAAAUUCUCUGUAAGUCAAUUGUUUCUAACUCUAUUAGGAAAUGAAUUCCUUAAGUACAUAAGUUUCAGUUAAUGGGAGAAUCAAGGGAAAAAAAGCUCUGUCGUCACUACACCUUGUUUCAUCAUUCCUAGAAAGCUAGAUGGAAACUGUGUUUUCUUUUAGAUUUAUAAUUCUGAACUCAUAUGUGAUAAAUGUGGGCAAAUAUCAAUAUAUGUAUAAAUGACAGCAUUUUUGUAAUGUUUUCAGUCCAAAUGCUAAAAAUUAUAAUGCAAAAUUUAGGAAUGGCUAGUAAUAAAAAAGAAUAAUGGAAACAACCUCUUGGGAGGGACAAGGCUAUGUAUUUGUGGGUGCUGAUGUACAAGGUGCCCAUAACAAUAAAAAAUAUCAAGACAGAGAAAUUCUAAUAUGGUUCUGGCAUAGAUGAUAUCAUUAAGGAAAUAAGGUGGUUACAUCGGGACUGCCUCAGAUCUUGUACAUAACAUCUGGUGGAGUUUCUUUUGUUGUCCUUUUGAUUCUAUUGUUGUUUCUAAUUUCUAGAUUAAGUCUUCAUGUUAUCUCUACAAAUAAAAAAAUUUAGGAUGGCAUGAAUUAUGUAUUCAGCAUAGCAAGGGAGACUGAUAAUUGGAUGUUUAUAAGCAACAAACAAUGUUAAAUGGGUGUAUAUAUACAAGAUCAUAAUGUGAGUAUGACAUGCAAAAAUAAUGAAAUAUUCUGACCGAGGAGCUUUUGUUGACUUAUCAGUGUCAUUUAGCUCCAAGCAUAUGCAACUAGAUUUUCCUUAAAAUGCCAAGAUCCAGACAUGCUGCUUGCAGAAAAGACAUAAAAAUGAGCUUUGUAAGUACUGAAACAGUGAAAUCUGAUGUUGAAGACAAUUAUGUGAGGUUCUAUGACACACAGUAUUGAGUAAAAGAAUUUAAACUCUAAUUGAGAAUAUGGUGUCUAAGACUUAUCAGUUGUGUCCCCAUGGCAAUGUAGAAGUGUGGAUCUGUUCACAAAAAGUUUGAUGCACUUGCGAGGAUUUAACUCUUAAAGAAGAAUUACAAUGGUUAAAAGAUUCAACUGGUAGAAAGGCACAAGACUUUAUGAAUCUUUAAAAUGUUUCAAUUGUUUAUUGGAAGAUUUGAUCUGUUACUAGUUCUAUAAUCUGGCUGCAUUGAUGGAGCUAUAAGGUUGACAGAUGGCUGCUAAAAGAUAGUUGGCAGGAAAAAAUUCUGUUAUACUUAACCCAAAAUCAAAGUUCCUGAACUCAUUUCCCAAUUGAGUCCGAUGAUGUAGAAAUAAGUGUACACUAUGAUAUUGUGGGUAGAGUAGUUGACAACAAUGGGUUAGUGAAUAAAGAAUAUAAGGAAGAAUCAGAAGCUUGUUUUACCACAGAUGUUACUGAUGCCUCUUAUAUAGCAUGCCUGUUAUCUGGCAACCAGGUUAACAGACUUCUAGUAGGCUUUUGGCAAAAAUUUAGAGGUUGCCUUUUCCAAACUUGUGAUAUCAUGGAAAAUCCUAUAAAUUUGAUAUCAUAGAUUGAUAGAUACACCUAAAAUCAACAAAUUUCCGUAAAUAUCUUCCAGAGUGCAAUAGAUACCCUUCUUAUGUUGAGAAAAUUCACGAAUAACUCUAUGUCUAGUGGCUAUAUUUAAUUGUAUCUUAGCAGGAAGUCACUCUUCUGUUUGACUAUCUUCUCUUUUGGGCUAAAGCCAUGGCUGUGAUUCUUACCGAAGCUGGCUGUUCAUAAUUCACUUUCUUAGUUUAGUCCUUUGAUAUUGCUACAAAUGAUUUAAACAUAUUUUAAAUGAAUAAACUUUUUAGUAGGAGGAUAUAGAAUCAAAAUAAAAAAUCAUCUUCUAAUGUUUGUCCAAGUACAAAUGGCCAGAUUCCUUGUUUAUUUGUUAAAUGCAUUGUUCAGAAUUCAGAUAAAAGUGCAAUAUAUUGCUGGAAUUUUUGGCAGUACUUAAUUUACUUUAUUAUGAACUUCUGAAACUUUUACUUUAGGGAUGGCAAUUUUGGUGGUAGGUUGGGUUUAAAAGUCAAUGCGGGGUGGAGGUCAAAUUUAGGUUGGGUCACUAUCGAAUCAAAUUUAGUUGGCUCCGGAGAAUGCCAAUACAUUUCUGACUGGCUCAUGUUAGGUUUCUUUGUGGAUAAACCUGUCAAUCUGGCUGCAUAUUAAAACAAUGGCUAUUAACUGUGGAGGAACAACAUCAUCAAGGUCUCAUGCAGUUUGUUAAAAAAAACUAGAAUAAAUUUUAUAAAGGUCUAGUAUAUUUUUCAUGUAUUAUUUGCUUGUAGAUAUAGAUAGUGGACUGCCAAAACAUCAACAGGAUUUAAAAACACUUAUGCUAGUUGGUAUACAAAUUGUGAUUUUCUGUCCAAUUGGAAUUUGGAUGAAGGGGGUUAACAACUCAAGCUCAUAAAUCUAUGGUGUUUCGUUGGCUAUGUUAAAUUAUGAAACAGUUAAGUUAAACACAUUCAGUGGAAACCAAAAAUCGUGUCUUGUGAGAAAAUGAUCAAUUACAGCAUGUUGUAAACCAAAUAAAUUUGGAAGAUUCAUUUUAACUAAAUAUCUAUGCAAUAAACCUCAUGAUUACUUCGAAUUGGAACAUAUUAUACAAAUGUAAUAAUUCUCUUGAUUGUAGAUUUCUCUUAUUGAUUAUGUACUCUGAAUAACACCAAAAUCUUGUGAAUCUCAGACAGGAGAUUUUCUAAAUAGACAGCCACAGUUUAUUCUGGUGCCCUGCACUCAUUUUUGCAUAAACAAGUCAAGCAUGUUUGAUUUUAUAAUUUUAUUUAUAAGGUGAAAAAUUUAGUCUGAUUAUUAACCAUAUAGUCACUCUCAUCUUAACCUUUGCAAUAUUCACAAUCCUGUUUGCCACUGAAUUCUCAGAAAUCUUAUCUUCAUACAAAGAGUAUUGUAGAUAAUUGACAACAUUAGGAGCUUAUAGUUUCCUUUUUAUGGAAUAUUCUUUUAUUUGUAUCUGGUUAAAUUUCAUAUUUAAAACUUGCUGCACACUUAUACAAUUUACUUGUGUUCUGCAUACGAUCAUCUGCUGGAGCUCAUCCAUCUUUCAAGCAAAUUUUACUGUAUAAAAUGUUUCAUCUCUAAGGUGGUUUUUGGUUAAUCAUUAGAAUUGGAAUCGGGUUGGACUUUAAGAAUUGAGUCUAAGAUAUCUUAUAUAUUUUGAAAAAUCGAGAUCUCAUUUGUCCAACUCAAGUGAAAGAUAAGGAAUACCUUUUAUUAACUAAUUAAAUUCUUCUUUGAUAAUUAUACCUGUCACUUGAUAAUUGGCUCUUUCCGAAAUGUGUUAACCAAAUCGAGACACAAAAUCAAAAUGAGUAGUCACUUUUGAUCCAACAAAUCUACUGAGUAGCCCUAGAGGCUGAUGUAGUAAGAAAUUGAUAGUCUAUGGUAUCACAUCUUUUCAUGAAUAUCAUAUCUGCUCAAUAUUUUUUACCUUGAUGUUUUUAUUUCUGCUUUUUACAAAUAAAAAAUGAUAUCAUACAUGCAUAUGUAAUGUACAAUCAUAUAUUGUAAAAUAUGGUGAUCAGUUAUAUUUGUGUGUGGAGCACCAUUGUGCUCUUUUUUAAUAAAACGUUCUUGAUUCUUGUUAGCUCUUUAUGUUUCACUCGUAUGAUGCAUAUCAGUAAAGAGAGUUUUAAAUUCACCUCUUCCAUUAAUGACUUUGGUAUAAUUCUUGGAGGUCCUGUAUCUUUCUUGUUGGCAGUGCAAUGGAGGGCAGCUCAAACACCAACUUGUGUAAUUCUCUUGGUGGAUAGGGAGUAAAAGAAUAACCUGUUCUAAUGAAAAAGUCAUAUCUUUGAUUUCCUGUUCUAGAAGUUUACGUGAUAACAUGUUAGGUACCCAUAUAAAUUCAGCUGGCUAGAAUGUACUUUUGAAGCACAUAUGGUACAAGUGUCUGCAUGAUCUCCAAAGCUUUUAAAAGGUGUGAUGUAAGUGCUGGAUUCUGUUUUGAGGAAAGGAUGAACUUGGAUGAAAUUAUGCUUGACCAGGCAUAACACCUGAAUAGCAAAGGAGUGAAAACACGACAAUAAUCUUUGACGAAGGCCUUUGUUCUGUUUGCAUCUUGAGUGGAAAAUGCCUUCAGUUUGUUUCGUAUGGUACUCUUACCCUCUGAUUCAGUAUAGUUACCUUUUCCAGCUUCUUGAGUUAGUUACAGCUGUAUGGGUGGAAGUUUUAUGGUUAAGGAUUGUACUCGUGAAUGUAGAUGCAUUUACAAAACUCCUGCUGCAAUAAGUGACAGAUAAUGUAUGUCUUUCUACUACUUUUCUAAUAAAAGUUGGGCUUUGGACAUAUUUGAUACAGUAAGUUGCAGGAAAAGCUAUGCACAUGUCAAUGAGUUAGAUGCCUUAGAAGUUCUAUCUCUUCUAUGAUCAAAGAGAUGUGCUCUAUGAGAAGCUUGGAAACAAUAUGAACUAUGAAAUUCGUCUUGUUUUGGUUCAACUGUCAUUACAUAGGAGGCGAUGCAGAUUGGUUAGUGUAAAGAUUGGGUUGUAAAGUGGACAGGGUUGGAUGCUUUGUGGUUAUGUUCAUCUGAUUGGAUUGAAGUAAGCUUGUAUUAGGUGUGGAAUGCAGUUUAUACAUACGAGGGGAAGGAACCUGCUAAGAAUGUUUACCUGUAUCAGAGCAGCUAAUUAGCCUUGGUAGAAAUUGAUGACAGAAAGCAAUUACCAUUGUAGAUCAUUAAUGACAGAAAGUAACUACUGUAGACCUUUAAUAACUCUGAUAUAUCGAAUAAUUGGGUGAUCUACUAGGAAAAGUCCCUAUUGUCAAAAGUUACUUAUGGAUUCUUCUAGUGUUUCCAUUGCUUUUGGUUCAUAUAGCCUAAGAGUGCUUUUGCCUGUGAGGGAUGGUAGUGAAAGUUACUGCAUUGCUAUAGGUAAAGAGUUAGCAUCAGAACCUCCCACAAUUAGUACUGGUACUAGGGUCUACAAUGGUAAUUGCUUUCUGUCAUCAAUUUCUACCAAGGCUAAUUAGCUACUCUGAUACAGGUAAACAUUCUUAGCAGGUUCCUUCCCAUCCUAUGUAUAAUCACAAAAAAUACAUUUAGAUAUUACUAUCGAGAAGAUGUAUUCUUGGAUUUGUAUUCUUAAAAUUAAAAAAGAAAGAAUGCCUAAAGAAUGUUUACAAGUGUUUGUUGCUACAGUUGUUCUUAUUGUCCUUUAAUAUUGCAAUAUUCAAAGUUAAUCUGGAACUUUGCAGAUCGUUCAAUCAGAUUGACAAUGACAAAUCUCUAGGCAUGUGACAGAUGGCCUCAAUGAGCUUGAGGAAGUUGGUAAUAAGGAUGCCAAGCAAAUUUUCCUAAUGCUUAAUGGUAUGUUGAGGCAGUAAAACACAUCAUUAUCCUCUACAGUUUGCUCCAUGAAUGUCAGAUGUCUAUGAUAUUAUUAUUGAUAUAGUAUAUCAGUCAAUAUUUGUAACUAAGUUAUUGAACACUAUCGAUAAUCUUAUGGUUAUUGUUGUUCCGCAUGCUUCAGAAUCUAUGAGAUGCUCUGCUGUAAUUGAAUUUCUGGGAGUUAGUCCACACUUGUCAUAUAAGAUCAGUAGCGAAAUAUGCUUUUGUUUCAACAUGAAUUACAAGUCUUUUCAUGUAUGAUGAUUUCAUAGUUGUCCUGAUUAUGGUUUAUCAUGCCUUACUUAUGAACAAGAAGGAUGGCAAUGCUUGCUGUAAAAAUGGACUGUGCUGAUCAUAUCAUCUAGUAUCAAUGUUCUUGUUUUUCCAUUAAGAAAUUCAAUCAAGUCAUAAACUCUUGAGAACAAUGCCAUAUCUGCAAUGAUCAUGUUUUCCCAGAUCUGAGAAAACGAUGGGUGUUGAAUUUGUGUUCCUUAUCUUCAUCUUGUCCUGACCGUUGGUUUCAACUUAAGCCACUUCAACUGACCAUUACAUGCUUCUCUGAAAUUUAUGCACCUCUGUAGGUAACCUGAUGUCGAGUCAUCUCUUUGGCAUCUUUGACUAAAACAUGCUGUUGAUGGAGCCACUAACUCAAAAAGUCCUUCCAGAUGGUUUGUGGUCAUGGAUCAUCAAGUCCAAGCUCAUCCACCAUGGAAGGCAGCAGAGCAGUCAUGUUUGAACAUGAGAUUGUCUUGUUUCUCGAUCUUUUCCAUUCAGGGAAUAGAUUCUUUUCCUUUUGUAUGUUAUGUUUGGGCUCCUUUAGUCUUUGAUCAUUUGAAUCCAUUAUUCCUAGACCUUUAACUUGUACUUGCUUAUCUGCAACUACCAAGUUAUUUAUUUAGAUUCCAUUCCAUGUAGCUCCAUCACAAUGUGGGUUUUCUUUCAAAAGAAGACAACACAGCUUGGUCAAACUCUGGCAUGCCAAAGUGGUGAACCACCUAGUUAGUGAUUACUCACUUCUAGGCAUCUCUGCAUAGGCCACGCGUAGUGCCUCCCAAUUGCUCACCUGGAGCUAUUAUCCUCCCUUGGAGGACUUUGCCACUUCAAGCAUGGUGGGGGGAAGCCCUUUCCAUAGACCUUGAAGAGAUAUUUUACUUAAUAAAGGGAGAAAUGAUGAAUGAUAAAGAAUAUUGCAAAACAGUAGAAAGGCAUUGAUGAACCAAGUGAAAGGACAUUGGCGAAUUAUUUUGAGGAGUUUGCCUUCUUUUAGAGAGACGAAAAGCAGCUUUGAUAAAAUGUGACAACCUCUCAAAUUCUUGUGCAUCAACAUCUCAUUUCCUUAAGUGUAAAAGUGGAUUACCAUUGCUUCCCAACAAUGGAAACAGCCAUUUCCUUCCAAUCACUUCGGUCAGGUUUGGACCCACAAUUAGUAUUCUGAUUGAUCCGCAGAAUGCCCUGACCUCUUAAAUUCUAAAUGUAAUUGCCAAGUUGGAGCUUAACAUCAUCGAAUGAUUUUCAUAUUGUGUUAUCAAAAGGUUGAAUUUUUCUGAGUUCAGAAAUAAUAUAUAUGGAUGGUAGGUGGUUGUGUUGUUUUGUUAAUCAUAUUGCUUUUACUUUUGGAGAUGGAAGCAAAAACUCAAACUAUGCUGUUUUCCUUUGAGCACCUAUUUGUACUAGUUCAUAUUGAUGUUUUAAAAUCAUUCAGCUCAAGGGUUCUUAGUAACUCAAAACUCCUCCAUGUUUUUCCUGCAGGACCUGAAGAUGUGGCAUAUUCAUAUGAAACUUGAUCCUUGCUUGACACAUGGGUCGACAAAAGGCAGACAGAGAGACAUACAUAUAGAUCUAUAGGUUUGGCAACAUUCUGAAAAGGAAAAGGUACCUCCUCAAUGACAAUAAGCUCAUUGAGUGCUGCUCUGGAUUCUUUAGGUUUGGGAAGGUGCAACCCUAGCAUAGACUAACUAGCCUCAAGUGAAGGAAGCCAUCAGAAUUGUGGGGGACGAGAACUGGGGUGAGUUGGGCAGACAUAAGUGCUAUUGCCUACAGGAAAAGCUCAACCUCACCCGCCCCACCCCCCCCCCACCCCCCCAUCCUCUUUUGAAUGGGUUGGUAGUGGGCAACUCCAUAUUGCUUUUGGCUUUUGUGCUUUGUGUUUUGGGGGAUAAGGAGCACUGAUGUGGUCUGGGUACGGCUUUGACACGACAUCUAGAUAAGAUGGAUGAACUACUUUCUUGUUCUGGAAAUGGUCCAAUGAUACACUAUGCAACAAAAAUACAUAUGUUUUCCCUAUUGAACAAAAAAAAAAUGUUUUCUUUCAUUCGUUACCUCUCCAUCUGCUCACUGGUUUUCUUCUUUUGUAGCUGCUUGUGGACCUCCCUUGCCAUAAAAUUCACCACUUCAACCAAUGAGACAAAGUGUUGGCAUUAUUUAAUUGAAAGACAAGAUCAUACAAUUUGGCUCUUAAUGAUAGAUUGAUAGUAUUAGGACAAUCUUAAUUGAAUGCUUGUCUACUUGUCAGCCACUGAUCAUCUAAGCCCUUUCUUGAGAUGUAGUUACACCAGAUGUGCCACCUUCAUAUCUCAAAAAUACUCAGGUGCACCUUAAUGUUAAUGAUGUUUAUGCUAUCUCUCUAUUGUGGAAUAAUGUUGCCUUAUAUUAUAUCUGUGUUGGAUUACACAUCCCAGAUUCACCUGCAAAGGAGAUUGAUUAAUUUAACAUAUAGAAUAGAUUGUCUCAGCAAUAAUUCUUCACUUGUCAUAGUUUAUUGAGUUCCAACCUGGUGGGUUUAUUUUCUAAACGAGAUUAAAUUAAUCAUGAUCGUGUUAAUUAAAUAUCAGGAUGCUAAACAAACUUUAUUUGAACUUGUUUAUAUUUUUGUACGAUGAUGGUUGACGUCCUUAGAGGUUCAACUCAGUGAGAGGUUUUGAUGCUCAUGAUUAAGUGUUAGUAUUAUAAGAUCUUGAUUAGAACUUGAUAUGCUCUCCAUAAAUUAAGAGAUGUAUGAGCUGAUGAGAUGCAUAGACUGGUAUCACUAAACCAGUCGUUAUCCUACUGGUUGUUUGAUAUUUAUCUAUAUUUUUGCACUGCUGAUGACAACUACAAACUCAAACCUUUUAGGUCUUUGACUGAGUGAUGCUCUCUCCAUGCAUUUCGUUGUGUUCAUGUUUAGACAAUUAAUCCUUUGCCUUUUAGACAAUUAAUCCUCAAGUACCUUCAUGGUGUUCAUGUUUAUAUCGCCCAUUGAUUGUUUUUUCUCCCAUCUCAUUACAAGAAUCUGGUGUCUUUUUCUUUCUUAGUCGAAAUGUUAUAAGUUCAAGUUACAUGAAAAAAGAAUAAUAGUAUCAUGAAUUUAUAAAUUAGAGAAAGUUUUCAAAAGCUUCAAUUUUGGAUAUUGGUUUCGAAAUCCAAUUAUUCUGCCAUUAAAGAAUUUUUUUUUUUUUGCGCACAUGAUUAAAUGGUUUGUGUUUUAUGAUGUAGCCUAACUAUAAUGUUCCUUAAGGGUUUGUAGUUGCUGACCUUAAACAUAUCUUAAGCCAAGUAUAAUCCAAUAUUACACACUAUGAAUUGCAAUUUUUUAUAGGUAAGAAAAUAUAAAAAAUAUAAACUAACAGUUAUUAUAAUCAUUGGAUUUUAAAAUUGGUUGACUAAAAAAAGCAGGAUAUCAUGAGUUUGUAUUAUUGUCAUGUGGUUAUCAGCAUUAAAAAAAGGAAAAAAAAAUGGGUAGGAAGCUUGAUGUGGUCUGUAUAAUUAGAGGCAAGCAGUGAUGGACCUCAUCAGUUCCUUUGUUCUCUUGGUAUCCAGGUACAAGGGAGGAGGAAAUGAAGGGUAGCGAGAGGAAAAGCUUUUGGGCGUGAAGAGGGCAGUAGGGAGGUAAAUCUUUCUCAAUUUCUCAUUUACAAGCACUGCUGGAAAUUUCUUGUCAUCUGAGUAAUAGACAGAGGCCACAAUAGCAGUGUAUUGUUUCUUCAGUUAGUAGCAGACAGGACCCACACUGACCUUUUUCCACUAUAACCACUUGUUAUCAUGCAUCACUGUUGCGGCACCUCUCUUUCACAUCUAUCUCAUUCCAAAGACGAUGAGUGCGUUGCUUAAAAUAAAGUAAACUUAGUUCUCACUGGAAUAUGGAGGAAGAUGACCAUAGUAUCAGAUGCAGUAUUUUCUUGUGAAAAAAAAAUAAAAGGAAUAUGAAGGAAGACGGCCAUAAUGUGGUGCUACGUGUCAUCAGCAAAGGUAAUGAAGGCAUAGACUUUAUAGCUCGGGAUUCUCAUGUAGCGUGGGUUUAUUGGAAUAUAUGCAGUUGAUUUUGUGAAGUACAUACAAAGCUUUGUGGGAAGACAUCCAUCGGAGCUUGUCUUCAAAAAUCUGGUGGAGACAUCUGUGGUUAUUGGUAUUCUUGAUGGUGUUUUUUAUGUUACUCGUGUCUUUAGGGAGGAUGAUAAGAUCGUCCAUUGGUAGGAUGAAUCGUGGAUG
rnacentral:lncRNA from 1 species